rnacentral:rRNA from 1 species
GCAUUUAUUAGAUAAAAAACCAAUACAUGCUUUUAAAGUAUGGAAUUUGGUGAUUUACAAUAACUUAGCAAAUCGCAUAGUGAAAACAGGCGAUAAAUCAUUCAAGUUUCUGACCUAUCAGCUUUCGACGGUAUGGUAUUGGCUUACCGUGGCAGUGACGGUUAACGGGGGAUUAGGGUUCGAUUCCGGAGAGGGAGCCUGAGAAACGGCUACCACAUCUAAGGAAGGCAGCAGGCGCGCAAAUUACCCAAUUCUAACAGCAUAAGAGAGGUAGUGACAAGAAAUAACAAUACAAGGCAGUUAAAAUGCUUUGUAAUUGGAAUGAUAGAAAUUUAAACACUUUUUAAAGUAUCAAUUGGAGGGCAAGUCUGGUGCCAGCAGCCGCGGUAAUUCCAGCUCCAAUAGCGUAUAUUAAAAUUGUUGCAGUUAAAAAGCUCGUAGUUGAAUUUCUGCUAAAAAUAACCGGUCUGCUUUUAAUAAAGGUGGUAUCUUGGUGUGUUUUUAGCAAUAAUGUCCUUUGAAAUGUUUUUUACUUCAUUGUAAUAAAUUAUUUUCAGGAUUUUUACUUUGAGAAAAUUAGAGUGUUUCUAGCAGGCUAACGCUUUGAAUACUGCAGCAUG